rnacentral:rRNA from 1 species
UACGAAGGGGGCUAGCGUUGUUCGGAAUUACUGGGCGUAAAGCGCGCGCAGGCGGCUAUCCAAGUCAGUGGUGAAAGCCCGGAGCUCAACUCCGGAACUGCCAUUGAAACUGUUUAGCUUGAGGACGAGAGAGGUGAGUGGAAUUCCCAGUGUAGAGGUGAAAUUCGUAGAUAUUGGGAAGAACACCGGUGGCGAAGGCGGCUCACUGGCUCGUAUCUGACGCUCAGGCGCGACAGUGUGGGGAUCAAACAGG